UAAAAAUACAAAAAAUUAGCUGGGUGUGGUCGCACACGCCUGUAAUCCCAGCUACUCGGGAGGCUGAGGCAGGAGAAUCACUUGAACCAGGGAGUCAGAGGUUGCAGUGAGCCAAGAUCACGCCACUGCACUCCAGCCUGGGUGACAGAGAGAGACUCCGUCUCAAAAAAUAAAAAAUAAAUUAAAAAGUACCCAUGAAGUCUCUGGCAGUGAAAGAAGGAUUCUUGAAUGAGACAGUGGGAUUCCAGUGGAGGAGGGGAAAAGGAGAAUAUUCCAGUUUAGGUAGGAAGUAAGAGAGAAGAGAGAAGGAUACAUUUGCAAGACUGUGAUUUUCUGUUUGGGGGAAAUGGGUUCAGCAUAUGCAAAAUCACACUGAACUUGCUUAGGAGUCACAUUAAAGCAGACUCACAUUGGGGUUUGGGUGUGAGAGUAAUUCUGGUUACAGAUUACAGAGGCAUCAUCGCUAACCCCAUCAGAUGUUAUCUUACAUAUAGGAAAAGGCCAAAACUCGGGUCAUUUAUCUUUUAAGGAAUGUAGCGACUCAGGCAGGAGACAACGGGGUGCAGGAGGGAGAGGGGCGUGUACUCUGUCCUGUCGUGUCUUCAAAGCUUCUUUCCGAAGAGCGAAAGAGCUGCCCGCGGCAAGAGUCAGGGGCUUUGUGAAAUGUUGCUGGCAAGGAGAAAUGAGAAAACACGGCUUCUUAUGUUUCUGCUUUGUUUUGCAGUAGGGAGCUUUGAAAACUAAGCUGAUAAAUUUAAACAAGGUGGCAUUCAGAAGGAAGUCAUCAGGCAGCUUAAGCGAUGAAGUGACAUGAAAUACUUUCAGAGAGUGUGAGGUGGAGCCUGUUAAGAACACAGCCCAAGAGGCCAGACAGGAGACUGCUACCAAUAACCCAGACACAGAUGACGGGAUUGCAAUAAGAAAACAGUGACAACAGGUAUUCACCGACACCUUCCUGAUUUGAGGCUCUUUGCUGGGUACUAGGAAUAGAAGAUGAAUAAGCCUGGAUGAAUUAUCUUCAAGGAGCUUGCAGUCUACUGAAGAAGACAGAGAUAGUACAGACGGGGUUUGACCGCAUUAGCCAGGAUGGCCUCAAUCUCCUGACCUUGUGAUCCGCCCGCCUAGGCCUCCCAAAGUACUGGGAUUACAGGUAUGAGCCACCACGCCCGGCCACAGCUCUGCCUUCUUAGACCCUAUACUAAGCUGCCUGAAGAAGUCUGCAUGCAGGAAAAUGAUGCAUCUGAAAUAAUUUCAAAUAACAACAAGGUUUUGUAAACUACUUUUGCUUUAGCCCCAAGACACUUUCCCACGGUAGUGACUUCUUAUCAAUCCUUAAUAAAUAAAAAUCUCCAAACGUUGACAAAUGAAGAGAA